UACGUAGGGGGCUAGCGUUGUCCGGAAUCAUUGGGCGUAAAGAGCGUGUAGGCGGCCCGGUAAGUCCGCUGUGAAAGUCGGGGGCUCAACCCUCGAAUGCCGGUGGAUACUGUCGGGCUAGAGUGCGGAAGAGGAGAGUGGAAUUCCUGGUGUAGCGGUGAAAUGCGCAGAUAUCAGGAGGAACACCCGUGGCGAAAGCGGCUCUCUGGGACGGUACUGACGCUGAGACGCGAAAGCGUGGGGAGCAAACAGG
rnacentral:rRNA from 1 species